rnacentral:rRNA from 1 species
GAAGACGUAGCAAUACGUUUGUAAAGCGGCGAACGGGUGAGGAAUACAUGGGUAACCUACCCUCGAGUGGGGAAUAACUAGCCGAAAGGUUAGCUAAUACCGCAUACGACUCUUGGUCUGCGGAUCGAGAGGGAAAGCGAUACCGUGGGUAUCGCGCUUCUGGAUGGGCUCAUGUCCUAUCAGCUAGUUGGUGAGGUAAUGGCUCACCAAGGCUUCGACGGGUAGCUGGUCUGAGAGGACGAUCAGCCACACUGGCACUGCGACACGGGCCAGACUCCUACGGGAGGCAGCAGUAAGGAAUAUUGCGCAAUGGGCGACAGCCUGACGCAGCGACGCCGCGUGGGGGAUGAAGGUCUUCGGAUUGUAAACCCCUUUCGGCAGGGAAGAUGGAACGGGCAACCGUUCGGACGGUACCUGCAGAAGCAGCCACGGCUAACUUCGUGCCAGCAGCCGCGGUAAUACGAAGGUGGCAAGCGUUGUUCGGAUUUACUGGGCGUACAGGGAGCGUAGGCGGUUGGGUAAGCCCUCCGUGAAAUCUCCGGGCCUAACCCGGAAAGUGCGGAGGGGACUGCUCGGCUAGAGGAUGGGAGAGGAGCGCGGAAUUCCCGGUGUAGCGGUGAAAUGCGUAGAGAUCGGGAGGAAGGCCGGUGGCGAAGGCGGCGCUCUGGAACAUUUCUGACGCUGAGGCUCGAAAGCGUGGGGAGCAAACAGGAUUAGAUACCCUGUAGUCCACGCCUUAAACGAUGGAUACUAAGUGUCGGCGGGUUACCGCCGGUGCCGCAGCUAACGCAGUAAGUAUCC